GUCUCGCGCUGGGUCCGCCUGUAACUUCUCAGUGAAGCCUCCGGCUCUUUACUGACUAAACCUGUAAAGCGUCCAACAAACGGCUCACUUCAGUUGACGUGAUCCUACUUUUACCGCGUGACAAAGGAAGGAAUCCGGGACAAAGAAGCUACAAACCUCACAACCAGCGUCUCGUUACAGUUAUUUUUACAGACUUUGGGAUGUUGUAACAGUUACAUUCACUUCUGCAGAGAUUCUGCAACAUCUGCUUCUGACGCUUGAGCAGAAAAAACAGGUUCCAGUUCUCCAGAACCCGUUUCCAGGAUCCACAAAGCAACAACAGGCCGAGAGGUGAAAACUUCAAAAAAUGCUCUUCUGCAGCAGAAACCCGGGUCACGGUGAUGGACGGAUGGACGGAGGAGUCUGGCUUUUCAUUUCAUUCUCAUUCCCUUUACGUCCGCUGCUGCCCGACGCCUUAGACUCCUCCCGUCUGUGCUGAUUAGCUGUAAUUAAGCGGCGCUCCAAUCAGUCCCAGCGCGGUGGAAAACGCACGUCACUGCUGAGGCACUGAGUGAACAGCUGAAAUGUGCUCCUUCCUCUGGUGCCGACCGACGGCAGCAGAUGCUGGAACCACAUUAAGCUCCAGCAAAUAACACCAGAGACAAAGGGAAGGAAAC